rnacentral:ncRNA from 2 species
AGACGUAUCCAUCUCCGAGCCGUAGCAGCCUAAAGAAUCAUUUCCAUGGCAUGCGGCCUGCGGGUAUCGCUGGAAACGGCGCUGCCCUCCUAUUGAAAAGGAGAUGGUUGGCAUCGGCA